GUAGGUGGCAAGCGUUGUCCGGAAUUAUUGGGCGUAAAGCGCGCGCAGGCGGUCCUUUAAGUCUGAUGUGAAAGCCCACGGCUCAACCGUGGAGGGUCAUUGGAAACUGGGGGACUUGAGUUCAGAAGAGGAAAGCGGAAUUCCAAGUGUAGCGGUGAAAUGCGUAGAGAUUUGGAGGAACACCAGUGGCGAAGGCGGCUUUCUGGUCUGUAACUGACGCUGAGGCGCGAAAGCGUGGGGAGCAAACAGGGAUUAGAUACCCUGGUAGUCCACGCCGUAAACGAUGAGUGCUAAGUGUUAGGGGGUUUCCCGCCCCUUAGUGCUGCAGCUAACGCAUUAAGCACUCCGCCUGGGGAGUACGGCCGCAAGGCUG
rnacentral:rRNA from 1 species